rnacentral:rRNA from 1 species
AAUCAACGCUGGCGGCGUGCCUAACACAUGCAAGUCGAACGCGAAAGUGGAGCAAUCCAUGAGUAGAGUGGUAAACGGGUGAGUAACGCGUGGGCGACCUACCUUCGAGUGGGGGAUAACCUUCCGAAGGAGGGCUAAUACCGCAUGACAUCCCGUGUUUGGAUACACGGACAUCAAAGCCGGGGAUCGCAAGACCUGGCGCUUGGAGAGGGGCCCGCGUCCGAUUAGCAGCUGGUGAGGUAACGGCUCACCAAGGCUUCGAUCGGUAUCCGGCCUGAGAGGGCGGACGGACACACUGGGACUGAGACACGGCCCAGACUCCUACGGGAGGCAGCAGUGGGGAAUUGUUCGCAAUGGGCGCAAGCCUGACGACGCAACGCCGCGUGGAGGAUGAAGGACUUCGGUCCGUAAACU